rnacentral:lncRNA from 1 species
UGCAGAAUUUACCGUCAUCAGUGCAAUCGGUCUGUGAGUCCUGGAAUAACAUCAAUACCAACGAGUUUCCCAACAUUGGAUCCUGGCGCAAUGCAUUUGCCAACGACACCAUCCCAUCGGAGAGUUAUAUCAGUGCAGUGCAGGCUGCUCACCUGGGGACUCUGUGUGGCCAGAGUCUGCCCCUGGCGGCUUCCCUGAAACAUGCCCUCCUCUCCCUGGUCAGGUUGACUGGGGAUCUGAUUGUGUGAGUACUAGAGCCUGGAGCCCAGCCCCUGUGUUCACGAUGGUGUGCUGUCUUCUGGCUGAAGCAGUAGAGUUGAGGUGACAGUGAUUUUACUCCUAAGUGUUUGGUAGAGUCGAGGAGGGCCAACCACCAGACAGGCAGUUGGGUCACGGGAACCAUGCUGCUUUGCCUUCAAAGUGGUCCAGAUUCCUGACUGUUCUAGAGUUUUCAAGGAUGGAUUGCUUUCUCCGGUUUUAGUUUAUUAUGAAAGUGUCUUAUUAAUUUGCUAUUUUAAUAAAUAAUGCAUUGUUAUAUGGAAA